UACGUAGGUAGCGAGCGUUGUUCGGAGUUACUGGGCGUAAAGGGUGUGUAGGCGGUUGUUUAAGUUUGGUGUGAAAUCUCCCGGCUCAACCGGGAGGGUGCGCCGAAUACUGAAUGACUUGGAGUGCGGGAGAGGAGAGUGGAAUUCCUGGUGUAGCGGUGAAAUGCGUAGAUAUCAGGAGGAACACCGGUGGUGUAGACGGCUCUCUGGACCGUAACUGACGCUGAGACACGAAAGCGUGGGUAGCAAACAGG
rnacentral:rRNA from 1 species